rnacentral:rRNA from 1 species
UACGGAGGGGGCUAGUGUUGUUCGGAAUUACUGGGCGUAAAGCGCACGUAGGCGGCGCAGCAAGUUGGGGGUGAAAUCCCGAGGCUCAACCUCGGAAUUGCCUUCAAAACUGCUGUGCUCGAGUUCGGAAGAGGUGAGUGGAAUUCCCAGUGUAGAGGUGAAAUUCGUAGAGAUUGGGAAGAACACCAGUGGCGAAGGCGGCUCACUGGUCCGCAACUGACGCUGAGGUGCGAAAGCGUGGGGAGCAAACAGG